UUAACGCGCCGGCCACCCCCAACAAACGA
rnacentral:sRNA from 1 species